GGCAUGGAUGCAGGCAGGAUGGAAAUGAAGACCUAUGAUAGGUGGAAGUGACAACAAAGUGGAGAUCCCCAGAAGGAGAAUGAACAAUCCCAGCUAGCAUUACAGAACACUUUCAACAAGCAUGGUUCUCCUUUAUCCUUGGCAGCCCUGGGUGGUAAAGGAAACAGAAUCUCUGAAAGGUGAUGUGGCUGGCCUAGUCACACAGUUAUCAGAGUCAGGCAGGAUUUGAAUCCACAUCUUCUUGACUCUAGAGGCCAGGCUCUGGACAACUGUGCUACAGUCGCCUGUUUGUGGGGCCUCUGCUCCCGACCCCAGCUGUCUGCCUGACUCAGCAACUGUGGGUGGCCUUACUCCCGUGCGUGGGCAGCAGAGCUGUUGGGAAGACUGACAUGAAGAGAGGGGAAGUCCAAAGGAUGUCCAGUGGAGAUGGGUGGCACUGAGACUUGAACUCUGAUCCAUUGGACUCUAGAGGCAGUUCUGCCCAACUCUUAAUGGAUGGACAGACUGUGGUGAAGUUGAACCUUCUGCCAAAGAAAACUCGUUGAUGCCCGCAAACCAGCCAGCCGGGGAGGAGGCUGCUCUGGAAUGUCGGAGGGGGGUCACCAAGCUGUUUGUGAGCAGGCCAACACAGAAAUGAACAAGAAUGGCGUGUGUGAGAGAAUCCACUAUAAAGUUAUCACCAUGACCCCUACCCUUCCCAUUGAGCCGGAGGGACUGGACAAGGAGACAGGCCACUUCUGGAUAAAAGUCCCUAGGUGUGGCAGUCACAAGAUAACUGAGGUCAAGCAGGAGAAAGCAGAGGCUGUUAUAAGGACUAGAACUCUUUCUCCCAAGUUCUCCUUUGCAAGCAUAUAGGUAAUGAGCUCUCUGUCACUGGAAAUAUGCAAGUGGAACCUGGCCAAUCAUUUGGCAGAGGCUGUAAAGGAGCUCUCAAAAUCUGAUGGGAAACCGGGCUGUAUGGCUUCUGAGCAGCAGUUUGGCUAAGGGGUUAAGAACAUGGGCUUAGCUGGCAGUGGCCUCUGGUUUAAACCCCAGCUCUGCCAUUUCCUAGCUCUCUUCCUUCCAUCUUCAGGUAACCACGAUUCUGACUCCUAUCAUCACAGAUUUAUCUUGCCCAUUCUAGAAAUUCAUACAAAUGUCAUCACGCUGAA